AGAGAAAUCGAGCUCCAAUUUUGAUUUUUGAGAUGCUAUACGAAGAAAACGAUCUCCAAUCUUUCGAUCCAAUCGGCGUAUGAUUUACUAUCAGACUCUUCUCUUGCAUUGUUCGAAUCGAUGUUAAAAAUUAUCAUAUUAUGAUUCAUUGCAGACAUGAAAUGGUAUGCAAACAUGAUUUAACAGUCAACUUGUUUUCUUUGCAUAAAAACAACAUUUGACUGGUUGUGGGUUUGGUUAUUUGAGGAAAAUGCAAAGUUGGUGCCUGUAUAAGUCAGUGCCUUAACGAUGUCGUCUGGCGUUAAGAAGAAAAUGUGCAAUAGAAUGUUCUUGUAUAAUUCAGAGUUAGUGUUUCUCAUCAUCAAAAUUUGGUUUACCCAGAAGAGAAUGUGCAAUAGAAGCGGAAGCAGGUCACUUAGAUUUAGCAAUGUAAUAUAGACAACCACAGUAAAAUGUGUAUGUUACCGCCACAUUUAUAAGGGGCCAAUGUCUGCCACAUUUGUAUACAUUCAUACAAAUUUAACCACAGUAAAAUGUGCAUAAUAUUUUUGCGA